UGGGAAAUAUUGCACAAUGGGGGAAACCCUGAUGCAGCGACGCCGCGUGAACGAAGAAGGUAUUCGUAUCGUAAAGUUCUGUCCUAUGGGAAGAUAAUGACAGUACCAUAGAAGAAAGCUCCGGCUAAAUACGUGCCAGCAGCCGCGGUAAUACGUAUGGAGCGAGCGUUUUCCGGAAUUAUUGGGCGUAAAGGGUACGCAGGCGGUUUAAUAAGUCGAAUGUUAAAGAUCGGGGCUCAACCCCGCAAAGCAUUGGAAACUGAUAAACUUGAGUAGUGGAGAGGAAAGUGGAAUUCCUAGUGUAGUGGUGAAAUACGUAGAUAUUAGGAGGAAUACCAGUAGCGAAGGCGACUUUCUGGACACAAACUGACGCUGAGGUACGAAAGCGUGGGGAGCAAACAGG
rnacentral:rRNA from 1 species